UUUUUUUUUUUUGAAUAUCGUUUUUAUGUACGGAGGCAGAGGGAGCAGGCUCUGGUCCCCUCGGGGCUAUGUCUUCGGUGCCAGGAGCUACCCAUCCACUGGUUCUAUCCUCAAAUGCCAAGACAAGG
rnacentral:snoRNA from 1 species